GUUCCUACGGGGGGCAGCAGUGAGGAAUAUUGGUCAAUGGCCGGAAGGCUGAACCAGCCAAGCCGCGUGAAGGACGAAGGUGCCAAGCAUUGUAAACUUCUUUUGUCAGGGAGCAAUUGAGUCCACGUGUGGGCUUAGCGAGAGUACCUGAAGAAAAAGCAUCGGCUAACUCCGUGCCAGCAGCCGCGGUAAUACGGAGGAUGCGAGCGUUAUCCGGAUUUAUUGGGUUUAAAGGGUGCGUAGGCGGAAUAUCAAGUCAGCGGUAAAAAUUCGGGGCUCAACCCCGUCGGGCCGUUGAAACUGAU
rnacentral:rRNA from 1 species